CUUUAGCUCAGUUGGUAGAGCGCACGGCUGUUAACCGUUAGGUCGUAGGUUCAAGUCCUACAAG
rnacentral:tRNA from 1 species